rnacentral:rRNA from 1 species
AAACGCUUGAAGUCAGUCACGUCUGCCAGGACUCAGCCUUGCUUCUGCUUGGUGCACUUUCUGGUUUGAUGGGCCAACAUCAAUUUUGACCGCUGGAGAAAGGCAUUGGGAAUGUGGCACCUUCGGGUGUGUUAUAGCCCUUUGUUGUAUGCAACGGUUGGGAUUGAGGACUGCAGCACGCCUUCAUGGCCGGGGUUCGCCCACGUACGUGCUUAGGAUGUUGGCAUAAUGGCUUUAAGCGA